GGUCGGGUCCUGCGCAAUGGUAGCCCGUGAACCAGGUCAGGAUCGGAAGGUAGCAGCCUUAAGCGGAUACUAUCAUGUGCCGCAGGGGUGCCCGGUCUCA
rnacentral:SRP_RNA from 1 species